rnacentral:rRNA from 1 species
UUAUGGUUCCUUUGAUCGCUCACCCGCUACUUGGAUAACUGUGGCAAUUCUAGAGCUAAUACAUGCAAACGAGCGCUGACCUCCGGGGAUGCGUGCAUUUAUCAGACCUAAAACCCGCGCGGGGCGUCGCCGCGUGGCGGCCCCCGGCCUGUUUGGUGACUCUAGAUAACCUUGGGCCGAUCGCUCGCCCUCGCGGCGGCGACGACUCAUUCGAAUGUCUGCCCUAUCAACUUUCGAUGGUACUCUAUGUGCCUACCAUGGUGACCACGGGUAACGGGGAAUCAGGGUUCGAUUCCGGAGAGGGAGCCUGAGAAAUGGCUACCACAUCCAAGGAAGGCAGCAGGCGCGCAAAUUACCCAUUCACGACUCGUGGAGGUAGUGACGAAAAAUAACAAUACAGGACUCUUUCGAGGCCCUGUAAUUGGAAUGAGUGUACUUUAAAUCCUUUGGCCAGUACCAAUUGGAGGGCAAGUCUGGUGCCAGCAGCCGCGGUAAUUCCAGCUCCAAUAGCGUAUCUUAAAGUUGCUGCAGUUAAAAAGCUCGUAGUUGGAUCUCGGGGCCGGGCUGACGGUCCGCCGAAAGGCGUGCCACCGA